rnacentral:rRNA from 1 species
ACGAACGCUGGCGGCGUGCUUAAAACAUGCAAGUCGAACGGAAAGGCCCUGCUUUUGUGGGGUGCUCGAGUGGCGAACGGGUGAGUAACACGUGAGUAACCUGCCCUUGACUUUGGGAUAACUUCAGGAAACUGGGGCUAAUACCGGAUAGGAGCUCCUGCUGCAUGGUGGGGGUUGGAAAGUUUCGGCGGUUGGGGAUGGACUCGCGGCUUAUCAGCUUGUUGGUGGGGUAGUGGCUUACCAAGGCUUUGACGGGUAGCCGGCCUGAGAGGGUGACCGGCCACAUUGGGACUGAGAUACGGCCCAGACUCCUACGGGAGGCAGCAGUGGGGAAUAUUGCACAAUGGGCGGAAGCCUGAUGCAGCAACGCCGCGUGCGGGAUGACGGCCUUCGUGUUGUAAACCGCUUUCGCCUGUGACGAAGCGUGAGUGACGGUAAUGGGUAAAGAAGCACCGGCUAACUACGUG